AUCCGCUAGAACGAAAACGAUCGCGCGAGAGAUUCAUUGUUCCAAGUACGGAGCGACGUAAAAAGUGCACAGCCACCAAGGAGAUAUACAACGCACAGGUGUAGCGGGCAUUAACUGGUGCGCAGGGAGCCGGUUAUCCUGGUCCAUCUUCGAGACAGUUUCUUGUAACUCUUUGCGUCUAAAGUCUCCUUCCCCUCGAAAGAUUUUUAACCCGACAAUCCGUGGCGAAUGGGUUUCUGGCAUUCGAUACACCGUGACUAAUCGGGGAAGGUGUCCAAGGAAGUUCUUGGGAUAGGUUUCGACUGGUAGGUAGAUGAAAACUCCAAAGGGUUAAAAUACGUGAAGAUAUAUCUACACUUGAUUACCAGACCGAAUCGAUUUCGAUCCCAUCGUUGGAGUCGAUACAGAACCUUGUUUCGAUUAAAUCGGCCGAGUCAUCGCCGAUUCAUCGAUAAUCGAUCCUGGCCGUUUAUCUCGUCCCGUGACAACGAUGCGAUGGUUCCUUUUGAUCCAUUUAAAUAGUCUAAUUGUUUUUUUCUUCUCUGUAGUUUCUUUUUAGCGUUGAAUCAUAGUAUGAUGUUGAUCGUUGUUUGAGACUUUUUGUUGGUAGAGGAUUCGUUACAAUUCGGCUGCUAUUCAACGAAUAAUGCUUAUUCAUUCAUUUAUAUUUAUUAUCGUUCGUUUAAAUAUUUGAAGAGAAGAACAUAUUUAAAUAAUGUUAUAUUUAAAAAUUGUAUAUUUAAACUUGUUAAUAAUAAUAAUUAAAGGCAUAAUA